ensembl:lncRNA
AUGUAUUAUAACAUACAUCGUGCCGCAAACCAACACCAUCAUUGUAAAAAUGAGAAUCGAUUAUAAUCACGAUAUCGAUAUUUCUUGCCUAGCCCUAUUCAAUUUUUCAUAUGCCCCUGUUAUUAUUAGUAAUAACUUUUUUCUUUUUUCAUUGUUUUAUUUUAUUUUUAUUAAUUUAGUUAUUUUUUACACUAUUUAGUCUUUUUUUUCUGUCAACUAGCAGGAAAACAUGGUCAAUUCUAACCAUUUUUUUUUAAGUACCGACAAUUCAUACAACUGUUUCCACACAGUAGCAUAGCGGAUGGGCACGCAAGGCAUGUUUAAUGUUUAUUUUUCAAUGUUAAUAAAGUGACACCAAAAAACAGGAACAUCAUUAGGAAAUCCUGGACUAAGCAAGUUUCUGAUAGGGCUAUAGCCUAGUAUAGCCCUAGUGCCGCCUCUGUUCUGAAACAUAAAAAUAAUGGCCUCAGUCACAAUUCUUUUCCUGAUUUCAUCUAUUUUUACCUCUCAGGGUGGUAAGAAAACAGUUUUUUAUUCUGCUAGUCUCAUGUUCUUACUGUACAUUCUGUUUUUACUGUACAACUGUUUUUGCAUUACCUUGUGUCUGCACUAUAUAUAGAUUGUAAAGAUAGCCUAGUUUUCCUGUGUGCAAAAUUAUCCAUGUUGAGAAAAUGCUGAGAAGUUUAGUAGGCCUAAUGUUUCAUUUUUUUACCUUUGAAUUGCUCCGGUUUAAACUUUGGGCGUAUAUCUGUUCCACCACUUUUUUUCUUGAAACAUGUUUCUCUUCCUCAUUUCAGAAAUAUCUUCUCUGUACUACACGUAUAGUACCAUAUCGAAAUCUCUGAUCUCUGAAUUUUACAGCUCAACUGAAUUCAAUGACAUAGAGAUGAGUUUCUGUAAGAGUGUGAAUAAAGCAGAUUUCUUGACUCAGUUGUGUGAGGAAUCUAAGAGACUCUUUAGAAAUGAAACUGACGAUUUGAAUUAUAAACGAGAGUGGCUUCAGAUCAACAUAAACGCCCUCAUGGAAGCAGGAAAUCAAAACAGGAUGAACAACACAGGCGCAGAACAGCAGUGUAGCACACAUUUAUCGGCACAUGUGCAUCACAGACAGACAGAGCCGCAGAAGUGAAGCCCUCCCUCCCUUUCCAGUUGUGUUUGACGUGGUUUGGAGGCAAGUGGUGAUGAACAAUAGACUAAGCUACUAGUGCCUUUGAAUUUACAGCUAAUUAUCUAAAAGACAAAUACUAGGUGCUUCUCAAACGGAAGGCUGCAUCCUAUGAAGGCUGCAUAUCUCGGCUACUACGUCAUCAAACGUCGCUGAAGGCCAUCUCAAUUGGAAGGUUCCUUGGAAGGCAGCCUUCGUUUCGUGUCCUUUAUUCAGCUGUAUUUGAAGGAUGCAUGGGAUGUAUCCUCUGCGACCUUCAAUCACCCACAAUACUUUGUACCCAUUCCAUUUCAUGAAAAUAAACUGACAAAAAAACGAGUCA